rnacentral:rRNA from 1 species
UACGGAGGGUGCAAGCGUUAAUCGGAAUUACUGGGCGUAAAGCGCACGCAGGUGGCUGAGUCAGUCGAUUGUGAAAGCCCUGGGCUUAACCUGGCAAUUGCAGUCGAUACUACUCAGCUAGAGUAUGGGAGAGGGUAGUGGAAUUCCCGGUGUAGCGGUGAAAUGCGUAGAUAUCGGGAGGAACAUCAGUGGCGAAGGCGGCUACCUGGCCCAAUACUGACACUCAGGUGCGACAGCGUGGGGAGCAAACAGG